rnacentral:rRNA from 1 species
AUUGAACGCUGGCGGCAUGCUUUACACAUGCAAGUCGAACGGUAACAGGUUAAGCUGACGAGUGGCGAACGGGUGAGUAAUGCAUCGGAACGUGCCCGAUCGUGGGGGAUAACGCAGCGAAAGCUGCGCUAAUACCGCAUACGAUCUGAGGAUGAAAGCGGGGGACCGUAAGGCCUCGCGCGAUCGGAGCGGCCGAUGUCAGAUUAGGUAGUUGGUGGGGUAAAGGCUCACCAAGCCAACGAUCUGUAGCUGGUCUGAGAGGACGACCAGCCACACUGGGACUGAGACACGGCCCAGACUCCUACGGGAGGCAGCAGUGGGGAAUGUUGGACAAUGAGCGAAAGCCUGAUCCAGCAAUGCCGCGUGCAGGAAGAAGGCCUUCGGGUUGUAAACUGCUUUUGUACGGAGCGAAAAGGCUCUCUCUAAUACAGGGGGCUCAUGACGGUACCGUAAGAAUAAGCACCGGCUAACUACGUGCCAGCCGCCGCGGUAACAC